AACGCAAAUUGCACUUUCUGGUUCGCCAGAAAGUAUGCCUGUUUGAGUAUCAUUUCCACCUCUACCCUCGCGUAGGUCUUGAGUGUUUGCGUCAAGCAUCACUCCAAAUGCAGUCCUAACUGGGGACGCAGUGUUUCAAUGCCCUACGGCAAGCUACACUCGUCCUCUCGGAGGCAAAAUAAUUGCCACAAGAGAAGUCUACUUCUAAUAUCUUGAUCUCAAAUCAGGUAGGAUCACCCGCUGAACUUAA
rnacentral:misc_RNA from 1 species